rnacentral:rRNA from 1 species
UACGGAGGAUGCGAGCGUUAUCCGGAUUUAUUGGGUUUAAAGGGUGCGUAGGCGGAAUAUCAAGUCAGAUGUGAAACCCACGGGCUCAACCUGUGGCCUGCAUUUGAAACUGUGUUUCUUGAGUACUGGAGAGGCAGACGGAAUUCCUAGUGUAGCGGUGAAAUGCGUAGAUAUUAGGAGGAACACCAGUGGCGAAGGCGGUCUGCUGGACAGCAACUGACGCUGAGGCGCGAAAGCGUGGGGAGCAAACAGG